rnacentral:lncRNA from 10 species
AUCCCAGCACUUUGGAAGGCCGAGGUGGGCGAUUCGCCUGAGAGGCCUUCGAGGAAGAGGCCCACCUCCUUCAUGGGCCUCUGAGCCUGAACGCCCAUCCAUUCUUAGUGCAUCAGAACUGAAGGAGCUUGAUAAAUUUGAUAACCUAGAUGCUGAAGCUGAUGAAGGUUGGGCAGGUGCUCAGAUGGAAGUAGAUUAUACAGAGCAACUGAAUUUCAGUGAUGAUGAUGAACAAGGAAGUAACAGUCCUAAAGAGAAUAACAGUGAGGAUCAAGGUUCAAAAGCCUCUGAAAACAACG